rnacentral:rRNA from 1 species
GACGAACGCUGGCGGCGUGCUAAACACAUGCAAGUCGAACGAUGAAACCUAGCUUGCUAGGUCGAUUAGUGGCGAACGGGUGAGUAACACGUGACUAACCUGCCCCUUUCUCUGGGAUAACGCUCCGAAAGGAGUGCUAAUACCGGAUACUCACACCGAGGCACAUGCCUUGGUGUGGAAAGUUUUUCGGAAAGGGAUGGAGUCGCGGCCUAUCAGCUUGUUGGUGAGGUAAUGGCUCACCAAGGCGACGACGGGUAGGCGGCCUGAGAGGGGGACCGGCCACACUGGGACUGAGACACGGCCCAGACUCCUACGGGAGGCAGCAGUGGGGUAUAUUGCACAAUGGGCGCAAGCCUGAUGCAGCGACGCCGCGUGAGGGAUGAAGGUCUUCGGAUUGUAAACCUCUUUCAGUAGGGACGAAGCGAAAGUGACGGUACCUAAAGAAGAAGCACCGGCUAACUACGUGCCAGCCGCCGCGGUAA